rnacentral:rRNA from 1 species
AACGAACGCUGGCGGCAUGCCUAACACAUGCAAGUCGAACGAGACCUUCGGGUCUAGUGGCGCACGGGUGCGUAACGCGUGGGAACCUGCCUUUAGGUUCGGAAUAACUCAGAGAAAUUUGAGCUAAUACCGGAUGAUGUCUUCGGACCAAAGAUUUAUCGCCUUUAGAUGGGCCCGCGUAAGAUCAGCUGGUUGGUGGGGUAAAGCCUACCAAGGCGACGAUCCUUAGCUGGUCUGAGAGGAUGAUCAGCCACACUGGGACUGAGACACGGCCCAGACUCCUACGGGAGGCAGCAGUGGGGAAUAUUGGACAAUGGGCGAAAGCCUGAUCCAGCAAUGCCGCGUGAGUGAUGAAGGCCUUAGGGUUGUAAAGCUCUUUACCCGGGAUGAUAAUGACAGUACCGGGAGGAAUAAGCUCCGGCUAACUACGUGCCAGCAGCCGCGGUAAAGUGACUACUG